AAUCAACGCUGGCGGCGUGCCUAACACAUGCAAGUCGCACGAGAAAGGGGAGCAAUCCCUGAGUAAAGUGGCGCACGGGUGAGUAACACGUGAAUCAUCUACCUCCGAGUGGGGAAUAACUGAGAGAAAUCUUAGCUAAUACCGCAUAACACUUACGAGUCAAAGCAGCAAUGCGCUUGGAGAGGAGUUCGCGGCCGAUUAGUUAGUUGGCGGGGUAAUGGCCCACCAAGACGAUGAUCGGUAUCCGGCCUGAGAGGGCGCACGGACACACUGGAACUGAAACACGGUCCAGACUCCUACGGGAGGCAGCAGUGGGGAAUUUUGCGCAAUGGGGGAAACCCUGACGCAGCAACGCCGCGUGGAGGAUGAAGUAUCUUGGUAC
rnacentral:rRNA from 1 species